rnacentral:rRNA from 1 species
AAUAGAUACCCCGGUAGUCCACGCCGUAAACGAUGAGUGCUAAGUGUUAGGGGGUUUCCGCCCCUUAGUGCUGCAGCUAACGCAUUAAGCACUCCGCCUGGGGAGUACGGUCGCAAGACUGAAACUCAAAGGAAUUGACGGGGGCCCGCACAAGCGGUGGAGCAUGUGGUUUAAUUCGAAGCAACGCGAAGAACCUUACCAGGUCUUGACAUCCCACUGACCGCUAUGGAGACAUAGUUUUCCCUUCGGGGACAGUGGUGACAGGUGGUGCAUGGUUGUCGUCAGCCCGUGUCGUGAGAUGUUGGGUUAAGUCCCGCAACGAGCGCAACCCUUGAUCUUAGUUGCCAUCAUUUAGUUGGGCACUCUAAGGUGACUGCCGGUGACAAACCGGAGGAGGGUGGGGAUGACGUCAAAUCAUCAUGCCCCUUAUGACCUGGGCUACACACGUGCUACAAUGGACGGUACAAACGGUUGCCAACCCGCGAGGGGGAGCUAAUCCGAUAAAACCGUUCUCAGUUCGGAUUGUAGGCUGCAACUCGCCUACAUGAAC